GCAAACUUGGUCAUUUAGAGGAAGUAAAAGUCGUAACAAGGUAUCCGUAGGUGAACCUGCGGAUGGAUCAUUCAAGCAUGUUUUGUUUGACCCUUUAUUGUGGUUUAACAACUGCGUCUUGUGCAAUGUUUUUUACAUAUGGUGUGGUCAUUGGCAUCCUUUUCCAUGUGAGAAAGUGUCGAUGGUCACGCAUUUUUUUCCAACACAUUUUUUCCCAACAUUUUUCUUAUUAUAUACAAAAAUAUUUGUAAAACUGCCAGCAAUGGAUCCCUCGGUUCUCGCAUCGAUGAAGAACGCAGC
rnacentral:misc_RNA from 1 species